GCCAGCAUGGCAUGGUGGUUUGAAUGUUGGACUGUGACUCUGGAGACCAGGGUUCGAUUCCCUGCUUGACC
rnacentral:tRNA from 1 species